UACGAAGGGGGCUAGCGUUGCUCGGAAUCACUGGGCGUAAAGGGUGCGUAGGCGGGUCUUUAAGUCAGGGGUGAAAUCCUGGAGCUCAACUCCAGAACUGCCUUUGAUACUGAAGAUCUUGAGUCCGGGAGAGGUGAGUGGAACUGCGAGUGUAGAGGUGAAAUUCGUAGAUAUCAGGAGGAACACCAGCGGCGAAGGCGGCGCUCUGGGCCGGAACUGACGCUGAGGAGCGAAAGCGUGGGGAGCAAACAGG
rnacentral:rRNA from 1 species